AGCCUCCUCCUGCAGCUGCUGCUGGAAUAGUGAAAGUGUUGGUUUGAACCUCAGAAGGAAACAGACUCAUAAGCUACCCAUAUAAAUGUAAUCUAUAAAACAAUGGUUUUCACCCAUGAUCCUUUAAAAUAUAUAUUUUUAAGCUCUAACUCUUGAGAUUCUGAUUCUCCAGGCAGGGCCCCACUUUGUAGAUUUUUAGCACACUCUGGAGGAUUCUAUGGUGGGACCAGAACAAGGACCCCAAUUUUCUAGCUCUUGACUGGAGCCUCCCCAUACCCUGCAUGAUCCCUAGACCAUGGUCCCGGCCGGAUGGGGAUCCCACAACCCCCGGGGCUGCAACCGCUUGCCUGUGGCAGCAGGGGCUUGGCCCUCUCCACCUUUCUUUCUAGCUCCUUUAUGUUGAGCUGGAUCUCAGACUUUUGAGUCUCUUGAAGUCGAACUUUUUCUUCUAAUUUGAUAUUUUUCUCCUUCAGCUCCUCAUCGAUUAUGCUAUGGCCAGAGACAGUAGAGAAAGGAAUGAACGAAGAACAGAAAGGAACGCUUUGGUGACCAACCCUCUGCUUUCACCCCACAACCACAGAACCGUGGCAUUGGAUGGGACCCCAGGAAUUAAAAGUCCCAGGUGGCAGGCCAGAGAGAAGAUAUGAGUUGCCUGAGGCUACCCCUGACAGCAGAGAGGGCCCGCUCUAAUUCUCCGGCAAACUUCCAUGAUUCAUGGAGGCGGCACACCAGAUCCCUGGUCUCUCCUGGAAUGAGAGACAUUCAGAUGCGGCCCAAAGGACUCCCCCUAAAGGCUUGUCAAAGUGCCAGGUUUUAAGAUGACAGGGUGCCGGAUGCCCACCUUGCAGCUGCUGGACAGCAUGCUGGCUGUCAUACAGUGCCGCCUGAAGCUCCGUUUGCUGAAAUAAAGAGGAAGACAGAGCUCUUACCAGGGGGAGGCAGAGAUGGCACAGCAAGGGACAUGCCCCCAGAAUGGCACCACUGCCCCAGGACAGGCCCACCCAUGGGACCAGCAGAUGGAGAGGAUUCAAACCCAGAAUUCUUAACCAGUGCCUGGGAGAUCUUCCACAAUCUUAACAAUUACCCUCCACCACCCCUUGGGCCCUCUGUCCCCAGGAGCCUGGCCAGCCAAGACUCACAUCCUCAGUAG
rnacentral:lncRNA from 1 species